rnacentral:rRNA from 1 species
UACGGGGGGAGCAAGCGUUGUUCGGAUUCAUUGGGCGUAAAGGGUGCGUAGGUGGCGCUGUAAGUCGGGUGUAAAAUUUCGGAGCUUAACUCCGAAACUGCAUUCGAUACUGCGGUGCUUGAGGACUGGAGAGGAGACUGGAAUUCAUGGUGUAGCAGUGAAAUGCGUAGAGAUCAUGAGGAAGACCAGUGGCGAAGGCGGGUCUCUGGACAGUUCCUGACACUGAGGCACGAAGGCCAGGGGAGCAAACGGG